rnacentral:lncRNA from 1 species
UAGGGUGCAGAAAAUAUUUGUACCAAUGGUCCCUGCCUCCUGAGUCCCCUUGCCCUAGAGUGUGUCAUCCCACUCUUCCAACCAAUAGGCACCCAACACACCGCUUCCUGUUUUCUUAACUCCUCCCUCUAUCUUGCUCCCAUCCGACCCCUCCCACUUUCAGGAAUUGGAGUUCAGGUUUGCAGUUCUCACACUUACUGUGUGCACCAGUGGCUGCAAAAGUUGGAAACCUGUGUGAGUGCAUUUUCUGCACCUGGCUGUGAAUUGGACCUGGGUGUGUAUGACAUACAGUGCUCUCAUUGGUCCUCUCAUUCAGGACCAGAUCUCAUGAAAUUGGUUAAGGAAGGGAAUGGCAGAGAGAAGGACCCUAAAGCAUCACUUUCUUGCCUUUGGAGAGCCUCUUUGCAUUGGCUUGUGCUGGCUGGCUCUUCUCCUACAGAGACAUUUAAAGGAACUCCACUGUGUCAUUCCUGGGCAGACAGCAUCCACAGUCAAGAUGUGUAUUGCAUGUGGGCUUAGUUACUGGGACAUAAAUGUGGCUUUUCAAUUUCAUCAGACUCACUUCUUAGGCCUUUUAGCUUGAUUUCUGUCAUUUGAGCCCAGGGAUCCACCUCUUUCCCGAAAUCUAAAUUUUCAAACAUCAGAAUCAAGUAACUUUCAGAGUAACUUUCAAGCACCCAUGAAAUGAUUCAUUUCUGCCUUCUGUUUAGGAUUUCCAGAAGUAGGAAGGGAAGGAAAAGAGGGUUGUGCCUUGGACCCAAGAGGAGACCAAAAGCAGAGUGAGGACUAAGAACUGGUCAGUCCUGCUGUGCAGCCCUAGUACAGUUGUAUUGGCUUAGUGCUGUACUCGGUGCUCCUGGGCUCACUAUGCCCUGAAGACAAAUGCCAGAUGGGAAUGGACAGACUGACGGCCUGCACUGAAAGGCAAAGGGUAAUGCCCACCCCAGGGGUGGGACUGUGUCCUGGAUUCCAGUUCCAGGAGAAGCAGUAAGUAGGAGAGAUCACAAACCCAGUCUUUGUAGGAUUCCAAUAUAAAGUAGAAGAGAGCCCUCUGUGGGGUGAUAUUACAAAGUGGUAUCUUGUCUUUUUUUCUUUCUCUCUUUCUUUCUUUCUUUCUUUCUUUCUUUCUUUCUUUCUUUCUUUCUUUCUUUCUUGUUUCGUUUUGUUUCGUUUUAAGAUUCCUUACUGGCUUGCUACCAGCAAUUGAACUGUAUUAUUCUUUAUAGAGCUAGAGCUGUUUGUUGUCUUCUUAAAAUAAACCUUUUUCUGUUAAAACC